UACGUAGGGUGCAAGCGUUAAUCGGAAUUACUGGGCGUAAAGCGUGCGCAGGCGGUUUUGUAAGUCUGUCGUGAAAGCCCCGGGCUCAACCUGGGAAUUGCGAUGGAGACUGCAAGGCUAGAGUGUGUCAGAGGGGGGUAGAAUUCCACGUGUAGCAGUGAAAUGCGUAGAUAUGUGGAGGAACACCGAUGGCGAAGGCAGCCCCCUGGGCUGACACUGACGCUCAGGCACGAAAGCGUGGGGAGCAAACAGG
rnacentral:rRNA from 1 species